rnacentral:rRNA from 1 species
AUUGAACGCUGGCGGCAUGCUUUACACAUGCAAGUCGAACGGUAACGGGUCCUUCGGGAUGCCGACGAGUGGCGGACGGGUGAGUAAUAUAUCGGAACGUGCCCAGUAGUGGGGGAUAACUGCUCGAAAGAGCAGCUAAUACCGCAUACGACCUGAGGGUGAAAGGGGGGGAUCGCAAGACCUCUCGCUAUUGGAGCGGCCGAUAUCAGAUUAACUAGUUGGUGGGGUAAAGGCUUACCAAGGCAACGAUCUGUAGUUGGUCUGCGAGGACGCCCAGACACACUGGGACUGAGACACGGCCCAGACUCCUACGGGAGGCAGCAGUGGGGAAUUUUGGACAAUGGGCGCAAGCCUGAUCCAGCAAUGCCGCGUGCAGGAAGAAGGCCUUCGGGUUGUAAACUGCUUUUGUCAGGGAAGAAAUCUUCUGGGCUAAUACCCCGGGAGGAUGACGGUACCUGAAGAAUAAGCACCGGCUAACUACGUGCCAGCCGCCGCGGUAA